rnacentral:lncRNA from 1 species
UUGUUCUUUUUUUUUUCUUUUUUUUUGUCAAACCGUGGCAGUUGUUCUUGCUAUGGGUAAAACACCGUCCAAUCUCUAAUAAUAGCUUCUUGAGCAUAUAGCCAUCACUCAAGUUCUGGAAACGAAUACAAGGAAUAAAAAUCAAAAUAAAUUUUUUUUGAAAUGUUGUUGAACCUUCGAAAACAAUUUUUUAUCUAAAGGUACGUUGUGUUUUCUUAUCUAAACCAGUCUUCGAGCUUUUAUUUAUACUAUUAGGUUAUAUAGUCGGUGAUUAACCAAAUGAUUUUCACGAAAAAAAAGAUAUUGAACACUAUAGCUAUAAACUGGUAAUGUAUUGGUUACUGUCGUUUUUUUUUCGUUAGACGAAGUCAUGGUAGAUGAAGUAGACCAUAGUUUUAAUUUGUCUCGGUAAGAUAUAUAGAUAAUUACAGCACACUAUAGUACUAUAUUUAACCGGCAUGUUUAUAGAUUCCUUUUGAGAAUUUGGACUUUGAUCUCAAAACCAAGACACGACAAGUGUACGGAUGUGUGAUAGUGUGUGUCGUAAGGGUUGACUUAGAUGAAAUGAAU